GGAGUUUGGACCGUGUCUCAGUUCCAAUGUGGGGGACCUUCCUCUCAGAACCCCUAGACAUCGUAGCCUUGGUGUGCCGUUACCACUCCAACCAGCUAAUGUCUCGCGAGCCUAUCCGUAUCCGCCGGAGCUUUCAAACAAAGACCAUGCGGCCCCUGUUGUUAUGGGAAAUUAGGCGGCGUUUCCACCGUUUAUGUCCCGGAUACGGGCAAGUUGCUCACGCGUUACGCACCCUUCCGCCGGUCGCCGACAGGUAUUGCUACCCUCGCUGCCCCUCGACUUGCAUGUGUUAAGCCUGCCGCUAGCGUUCAUC
rnacentral:rRNA from 1 species